rnacentral:rRNA from 1 species
AUUGAACGCUGGCGGCAUGCCUUACACAUGCAAGUCGAACGGCAGCACGGGUGCUUGCACCUGGUGGCGAGAGGCGAACGGGUGAGUAAUACAUCGGAACGUACCUUAUCGUGGGGGAUAACGCAGCGAAAGCUGUGCUAAUACCGCAUACGCCCUGAGGGGGAAAGCGGGGGAUCGCAAGCACUCGCGCGAUUAGAGCGGCCGAUGCCUGAUUAGCUAGUUGGUGGGGUAAAAGCCCCCCAAGGCGACGAUCUGUAGCUGGUCUGAGAGGACGAUCAGCCACACUGGGACUGAGACACGGGCCAGACUCCUACGGGAGGCAGCAGUGGGGAAUUUUGGACAAUGGGGGCAACCCUGAUCCAGCAAUGCCGCGUGAGUGAAGAAGGCCUUCGGGUUGUAAAGCUCUUUUGUCAGGGAAGAAACACCGGCUCUAACACAGUCCGGGAAUAACGGUACCUGAAGAAUAAGCACCGGCUAACUACGUGCCAGCCGCCGCAGUAA